UCGUCCCCGUCAUCGAAGCCCCGCAAUCGCUCGCCGGACCAUUGUAACGUGCUGUUUGUUUUCUUUCCUCUUCAGACUUCUACAGGUCAUUAUUUAUUUUUUUUUCUUUUUUUUUUUUGGCGCGCGCGGAAAUAGCGCUAGUCAACGUGGAAAUCGGGUUUGCCACCUGCACGCCUCGUGAGGUUCUGCAGAGGCAGGGCGAGAGUGGCGUGUAGUACUUGGAAGAUACUUGACCUGUGCGUAACGGUGGGGAGUCGUAAGCCUUGCGGGUUGUGGUCAGGGCACAUCAGUAAUUCCGUCAGUGUGAUGCUAGAGGAAUUUUGGUUCAUGCGAAAGAAGGCAAAAAAUACGUGGAAUCGCCAGCCCCAAAGGGGCAGGAGGUGGAACUGGAGUUUAAAAACCAGCCAGAUGAACUUACAAGGCUUUCAAAAGCGGGAACUGGCGGCAAACGCUGGAAACUAGAGGGCUUUUAAAAGGCAUAUGGAAAUACGUGAUGCCUUGGCAAUAACAAGAACAAAAAUGUGUACUAGACUCCAAAACUAAUGCGGGUUGUGCUUAAAAAGGGGGUUUUUCAGCUAAUAAUGGGGAACCCGCUUAGGCUUUUUGUAUCGGCUCUGUGUAUCUUUAGUCGGACUGAAGCAAAGCAAAAAUUGGCAUGUGCCUGUCAGACGCAAGGAAACAAACCAUAUUUGUAUUGGAGUAAGAGCUGGAUCCUCUCUAGAGAAAAUGGCAUCAGCCCGUAGAAUAUGUGUGUAACUCAAACAGUCUUUGUGCCAGAGGGUGUUGGGGAGGAAUUGUUCACCUUUGCAGUCAUGUAUCUUCUCCUGUUAGAUAGCGUAAUAGUGACUGCUGGAGCACAGAGUGAAAUCCCGAAACAGCGGUCAAGGCGUACUUGAACUAUAAAACAGCGAUUCUUCUCUCAUUGCUUCAGCUUGUGAGAUGUAGGAUACCCAAUCCUACAUUUGUGCCAUUCUACCGAAAUCAGUAGAAUUUUUUUACUGGAAUAGUAACGGUGGUGUAAAAGCACCCCAAAGUGAAAGCAAAUGGUUCAUGACUUGUGCAGCUUCCUUCCUUUCAAAAGUCACUAUGGUAUGCACAGAAUUUAUUAAUAUUUUUUUCCAAGUUUUUUGUUGUGGUUUUUCUAGCAACAGCGGAUUCUUUAAUGAUUAAUCUACAAAUGGUGGUAAAUCUGUGAGUUUUAGGUUAUAUGUUUAAGUCAUCUGUGUGGUUUUGCAUCAGUAUUGCGUAAUCUCUUGACUGUCCCCUUUUUAUGUAAUGUAUGUUUGUAGUUUGUUUUAAAAUGUACAAAUAUUUUUUCCUCUGCGUGCUUCUCCUCAGAUAUUUCAUAUUUGUCUCUCCAUUGCCCUCUUGAGUUAAAAACUUGUAAGACACCAUUUUGAUAGCUGGAUCCAGCUGAGUGUUACGUAUUUCUCUUUUAAAAACAGUCUCCAUAACAUCUCAGGACAUGCUCUUUUCCAGGUAAGUUAUUUAGAGUGUUAUACCACCUUCGGAGUUUCUGCUUCCUCCUGGUAGAAGCAUGAGAUCAACUUGUACUGGUGAGGUCCAACAUUGUAAAUGAACUUUUUGUAAAAACUUAGUAACACAUUGACUUUUACUAUGUAAAACUGUAGUGUUUUUUAAACUCAUUUCAGAACUCAAUAUAUUUGAUUCUCUUAACCAAAGUGUGGGGGUGUGUGUGUGUAGAAAUAGUUCCGUGAUCUUUUCAGCAAUGCCUGCUUUUAGGGAAGAAAAAAAAAGGGGUGUGUGUGUUUAAAAGAUAGGUUGAUGUAAGCUUGUAAUUUAACUAGUUUGCAGUGGAAUUGUUUACCUCAAAAUUUUGUAUUUGGAUCCUAUGACCUAAAAAUGCCAGCUGGAUACUUGAAGCAGCUCGAGCCUUUAGGCCCCUCUUCUGCUUACUCCAGCUGCAGUCCCUGGAGAACACAGCUGGCUGCCUGGCGUUGGGCGCUGCUCCCGUCGAAGCCAUCGGUAGGCAUAGGAACGGGCGUCUGCCAUGCUGGCUCCAGAAGCGCGUACGACAAACGCCGUUUAAGCCCAGCUGAAUGUGUUCGCAGUGCUGUAAAAUUCCACCGCCUGCCAGCCUGCUCCGCUGGCGAAAGCCUGGCAGGCUCGGUGCAGUAUGCAGCGUGGUCACGGUGUGGUGCUACCCUCGUACUCGCGCUGUUAAUGAUUCCACUCCUCGGCUCUCGCAAGUGGCGUGGCAACAUAAACUUAGCUGGCUCUCUGCCAUCAUACCCACUGACUGUCUGGUUCAUGACAUUCAGUGCUCAAGUAGCGUAAACCAAAUGCUGCUGUCCGGCUCCAGUGAAUUUAAGGGGGAGAGAGGGGUGCCCCCAUUCUCUCUAGUGAUGGCUGUAGAGUGGUUACUUACCCUUUCUUUCUUCAUUAAAUCCAGCAUCGGUGGAUUUGUCUGGAAGAAGCUGCUACUACAAAACGCUUUGAGCUGCAUUGCAGAAGCCACCGUGGUCAUUAAGAUAGCACUAAUUAUCUGGGUAAUUUUCUGGACUGAAACCUCAGAUGCAAAGCCACCUCUGUUAAAUGCUCCUGAGCCUUUUGUCUGGCAGCUGGGCGUCUGUUUGGAGUGAUGCGGGGUUUCUGAGACGCGUACGGGAUGAGGAGAUGGAGGAUGUGCCUGCUGGGCUCGGCAGUGUUGCGGAGGGGCCGCAAUGACUGACAGGCUGCCCUGGCUCAGUUAUCACAGUGCUGAUGCUGUCUCUUGUAAAGGUACAGUACUGUGAUAACUGAAGGAUGGCAGCCAUCUGAGCUUCACGGGGCCCUGCACCGCUGGUUCUCUGUGCCCCAGGGACUGACGGACGGAUGCAUGUACAGCGCAGCGUCCUGCUGGAGUCCACUCGUUUUAAAUGUACCGCUUUGCAUAAAAGUCGAAGAAGGUAAAGAAAACUUAUAUUUUAUUUGAAUAAAAUAUUAUACUUUAUUGAGAGUUUGCCUGUUAAUUGACUGUUUUGCCUUGGAAGAUCUUCCAGAAAUGCUGUGCUUUGGAAAUCUUCAGAAAUGGUUCAGAAAGCAGGGUCCUGUGCAGCACGGUGAAGUAUUAAACGGCGGAGGGGCGGGUCAAUGGGUAAUCCUCGGUACCAGAACAAACAGAAAUGACUCUGUAGCAAUAGAGAAAACAAAGCCUGCUUUAGACGGCGGGACACAGGUUAUUUCACCCUCCGGCCAGCGCACUAGGAUGAUGCAGUGGGUUGUCCGUGAUGCAGCUGGUACAGCCUCUUGCAGGGUUUGCUUGGGGCUUCUCUGCCCCAGCGAGUGGGAGACUGCAAAUUUCCCAGGUAAUUUCUGUAGCAGUGUCAUGAAAAUGCCUAGAAUGGACAAGGUUUUUGGGGAAUCUGCUCUUGGCUGAAGCUGCUAUCGGUGAUUUUUGUGCCAUGUGAAUUAAAUCGUGGUGGGAGAAUGGAGGGUUUGUCUGUCCCUGCCUGGGUGGCUCCGGGGGGGUGCUGGGUGCAGUGCUGGGACAGGACAGCAGAGGGGCCCCGCGGGCCGGGUUGUGUUGGGGAGUGUGAAAUCCGAGGAUUUUUGCAUAAAAUAAGCAGAGGCCUGCAGACAUGUUGGUGUGGUGCCGGUUCCCCAGAUCCCACUCCCCCUGCCCCCCCCAGGAAGUGUAUGGUCCUCAGGCUGCCGGGGCUGGUGCAGCAAUUUCCAGAGGUCACAGUUUAUUCUUGAUACUGAUGUUCAGUGUGGUCAUUAACCCAGUGGUGUUUAGAAAGCUCUUCUUCUGGACUGGAUGAUUCGUGACCAUCCUAGGGCUUUGCCCUGUGCUUCCCUGCACAGCCCUGGCUGCUGCUCACUGCUCCGGGGAGAGGAUUAGCUCAACCGACGGUCUGCUCCAAGAUGGCAAUUAGCUGGUUUAUGUUAUUUCUCCAAUCUUCUUUACUGGAAGGUGUUUCUGCCAGACCGUGCUGCUGGCUAUGCCUGUGGGCCCAGAUGGGGUUGGUGCUGUACAGCCACGAUGGAACAUUUUGCCAGCAUGCGUCAUUUAAACGGGGGAAAUUAUUACUGGUGUUAUCGUAGUGGCUUGAGUCUGUUUCUGGAGGAGGAAUCUAUUGUACUAGAAACUCUGCAAAUGAUAAAAAAAGCAUCCUGCUACCAAGAGUUUAAGUUCUAGAUAGAUUAAAAUCUGAGCAGAGUCAACCUUCAGCUUCCUUUCUGCCUCUUUCCGAAGCCUGCAGGGACCCCUUGACCUGGGCAGGAAUACACUCAUCCCGAAAAGGAGAGGUGGUCAUCUCCCGCAGCGCAGGGGCUGCAGCCGUCCCUGGCUCUAUGACAGCAACACGCCUGCACUGCUCCUUCAUGUGCUGUGCCACGCUCUUGUUUUGAUUACAUCUUUUUAGCUAUUUAUGUUGUCAUUUUAGGAGCCAGCAGGUGCUUGGGGAACGUGCAUCCCCUUCCCUGGGAGAAAGGCAGGUGGCAGUGGAAUUUGGAGCUGGAAGUAGCGUGGUGUUCAGCCAGGUCCUCUCAGUGCUGCCUGACGGACGGCUUUGGGUGUUCACGGAUGAAUACAGUCAGGGCGCUGACUCGUACUAGAAACCGAAAAGUUCUUGUCCUUCCCACGGGAAACAAGAUAACUGCUCAGGGGCAGAUACAAGGUUUGUUAUGGACCGGGUCCAAGGAAUUGGGUUCCUCACCUACCGAGCCUUGGGUCAGAUUUGAGGGUUAAUGACCAACCCGGCUUAUUUAGUGGGACGUGCAGCAAAGCUGUUUGCUGUGUACUGCAGGACAUGUCAAAUACUGGUGAAAGAGAGCAAAGAGCCUGUUCGAAUGACAUGUGCCUCUGGCUUCAGAUUGUGAUUCUCGUUUCCUGUUACAAGUACAGCUUCGAGCUCUGGCAUGGGACAGGAACUGAAAUGCUGUCUCUGCCCAAAAACAACACCUCUCCAAUCAGAUUUACUGGGAGCCUUUAUCUCCCUCUCUAGCUCAGCGGACAUAGCGUCCAUCUCUUUUUACUGUAGCCUCCUACUGAUACCGUAGUGGGUCAGACUUAUUAUAAAUACUGGUGGGUUUGCUAUGUCUAAAUAUUGCUACACACGAACAAUGCAACUAUCAAGUCUCUUUUGGCAGUGGAGCACUUCCUCCCACGAACCGUGUUAAAGCAAGAGGUAAACAACAUGCAUACAGCGAUACAUCACGUCACUUUCUGCUCAAAAAUAAGGUCUGUGAGGACCAUCCGUUUUCUGAUAAAACUUUCUGUAAUUUAUGGGUUUGAUCCCAAGGCAAGGCAAUUUUCUCAUGACACAUCUCAGCUGUCAUUCCAGAUGGAUUUGUUCUAACCCGGUUGUUCUCAGCCUUUUUCAUCAGGAAAGUCCCUUUUCCCAUCUGGAGGCCGUCACCUUCCCACCCACGUUUUGCAUGAGGAGAACAGCAGUUCUGCUCCUGCGACGUCUCCUCGGGGCUGCGAGGCUGCAGACAAAAACGGCUGUUCUGUGCCUGGCUCUCAUCCACAGAUCAUCCUUUUAAGGGUCGAAGUUUCUGCUCCGAGCAAGCUGGCCAGCCACUAUUGGCUUCUGACAACAGCAGGAUAAAAGACUUCCAUUGUCUGCUAGCACUCAGCCUUGAACCCAGGUGAAGAUGUUUCCUUGCCUCAAAAUGCUUUUUUAAAAAAAUGUGACUUCUGUUACUGUUCCGUGUGAAGCAUCGGUACGAAAAAGCCUCGUUUUAGUUGCACUAAAAUAAAAAGAAUCCUUCCCAA